GGGCCAUUAGCUCAGUGGUUAGAGCAGAGGACUCAUAAUCCUUUGGUCCUUGGUUCAAGUCCAAGAUGGCCCA
rnacentral:tRNA from 3 species